UACCCACUGUGGUGUUCGAGAGCAGAAACGUAAUUCUUGAACCACUUUGUGUUCGAUAGGAGACUACACGGCCAAUGGUGUGCAUACCUGGAUUUCUCAGGGAGCCUGAUUUGUCUGCAUCCGUCUCCACCCUUUAUUUUGGGUUCAAGGUCGAGCUCUGUAUCGGCGCUAAUGGUGGGUGC
rnacentral:other from 1 species